rnacentral:rRNA from 1 species
CACGUAGGGCGCAAGCGUUGUCCGGAAUUAUUGGGCGUAAAGAGCUCGUAGGCGGUCUGUCACGUCGGGAGUGAAAACACGGGGCUUAACCCCGUGCCUGCUUCCGAUACGGGCAGACUAGAGGUAUGCAGGGGAGAACGGAAUUCCUGGUGUAGCGGUGAAAUGCGCAGAUAUCAGGAGGAACACCGGUGGCGAAGGCGGUUCUCUGGGCAUUACCUGACGCUGAGGAGCGAAAGUGUGGGGAGCGAACAGG